rnacentral:piRNA from 1 species
UUCCCAGUCAGGAUGUUUGAGUGUGUC